rnacentral:rRNA from 1 species
UACGUAGGCGGCGCUGUUAGUCGGGUGUGAAAGCCCACGGCUCAACCGUGGAAUUGCGCCCGAUACUGCAGUGCUUGAGGGAGACAGAGGUAAGCGGAACUGAUGGUGGAGCGGUGAAAUGCGUUGAUAUCAUCAGGAACACCAGUGGCGAAAGCGGCUUACUGGGUCUCUUCUGACGCUGAGGUACGAAAGCUAGGGUAGCGAAGG